AUGAAGCUCCUAAGCUGGAACUGCCGGGGCCUGGGGCAGCCUCGGACAGUUCAAGAGCUGGUGCAACUCAUGAGUGCACACCCGUCUAUCGUUUUUAUUUCGAAAACUAGGAAAAAUAAAGAUAGGGUCAAUGGUCUUAAGUGGAGGCUUGGCCUCAAGAAUUGCAUACUGCAUGAUGGCAGAGGAAAGGGUGCCGGUAUCGCCUUGUAUUGGGAUGACUCCGUGGAAAUAAAAAAACUUUCAGUUGGCCCGAGGUACAUCGAUGUGUUGAUACAAAAUAGUCCCAAUGACCAAUGGUGGAGAGGAACCUUUGUGUAUGGUGAACCCAAACCUCAUGAAAGAAUCCAUAUGUGGAAUUUGCUGAGACGGAUAAAACAUAAUGCUAAUGUCCCAUGGUUAGUAAUUGGUGAUUUUAAUGAGACCCAAUGGCAGAGUGAACAUUUUUCAGCUACAAAGCGAUCAGAGAAACAAAUGGCAGAUUUUAGGGAUGUAUUGGUGUGGUGCAACCUACAUGACUUGGGCUUCAGAGGACCGGUCUGGACUUACAACAACAAGCAGUCCGGCAAGAAUAAUGUGAAGGCUAGGUUGGACCGCGGGGUAGCUACUCCUAGCUGGUGUAAUACAUUCCAAAAUGUUAUCAUUCAACAUGUGUGUUCAAUGCGAUCUGAUCACUUGCCGCUCCCGCUUUAG
rnacentral:rRNA from 1 species